rnacentral:lncRNA from 1 species
AGGCAUAUGAUCUGGCUCAGCCAAUCAGAUGCACCCCCAGGAACUCUGAAUCUUAGCAGGUGAUACAAAGACACGGUGAUGGGAUGUAUCUGACAGAAUUGGCGGCAGCCGCCCCAGGAGGUUUCCAGGGCCAGAGGAGCCUCAGGGCCAGUUUCACUGUUGUCCUCCCUGCUCUAGCCCUGAGGUGUGAUUUGGCAGGGGUUCUGGCUGCUGUCCGGUCCUCCCUGGUUCCUGAGCUUAGCUCUCCAGCCAGCCCGAGGAGUCCGUGAGCUUUCUGUUGCUUUCAACGAAGAACCCUGACAAUAAACAGAGACAAGUCAGCAUCAUGGAGAUAGAGAGGAGCUGGGACCUGGAGCGUGGAUACAUAGGCAGUUGGCAGCAGUGAUUCUGUGAGUGCCCUCUGCCUUGCAAGGUUCCUCUCAGCAUCUCCUGCAGGAAGAAUGCCCGUUGGCCCUGCUGCCUGAGGGCCGAUGCCCCCGCUGCCUGGAGCCUUGGUUUUCUCAACUAAGAAGUGGAUGCGAACUCCUGCAUCACUGCUUAACCAGCAUCACCAGUUAACGUCGGCGGUGCCAGAGCAGUGCACGGCCCUGGCAGCUCACCAGGACCGACUAUUGGUGCCACCCGCUGUCCUGGGGCUCCGGGCAGGCUCUAGGAGCCCAGGCUCACAGCAGGCCAUGGGAAAGCCCUGUUGACCAGGGUGGGCUGGAAGGAACUUUCGCCUCCCCUCCUUGGGCUCUGGGAGCUGAGAAGGGGGCACAGUGACUGGGGCUAGAACGUGGAGGUGCUCCCCCCAAACAGCCUGAAGGAAGGAGGAAGGAAGAGAGGACGAGCUGAGCACACCCUGGGCCCCAGAGGAAGUUGAAAGCUGGGCCGUGGUGUGACAGUUCAUGGGCUGCACCGCAACUCCCCACCCCACCCUCACCU